AGGGCCUUACAUUAGAACACAACACAACAGCAUACGAUGAGAGAGAGAGAGAAGAGUGGCUAGAACACUAAUGUGGUCAGAUAUACUAUAGCUUCAGGUCAAAUAUACUUCCAGGUCAAAUAUACUACCAGGUCAGAUAUACUUCCAGGUCAAAUAUACUUCCAGGUCAGAUAUACUUCCAGGUCAGAUAUACUUCCAGGUCAAAUAUACUACCAGGUCAGAUAUACUUCCAGGUCAAAUAUACUUCCAGGUCAGAUAUACUUCCAGGUCAAAUAUACUUCCAGGUCAAAUAUACUUCCAGGUCAGAU
ensembl:lncRNA